CAAAGUGUUGCCUUCACUACACUUUAACACUGGUUUGGAAUUUCAUGGAAACAGGCCUCUUUAAUGUGCUGGCAUGCCAACAGCAAACUUUUAUUCCUUGGUAAGUGACACGGUGGCAAGCAUUGUUGCAUCACAGCUGAGUUCCAGGGUUCAAAUCCAGACCUGGGGUGUUAUUUGUGUGGGUGGGUUCUGUGUGUUCUCUCCGUGUUCACGUGGGCUUACUCCAGGUACUCUGGUUUCCUCCCACACUCCAAAGACUCACUGAUAAAUUGAAAACAACAAAACAAGGUGUGAGCUGGACAGUACCCGGAUGGGAGACCUCCCAGGAAAAACUAAGGUGCACAAGAAAGUCAUACUGGGAAAUCAUCAAGGGGAGCCUGAAAUGAGAUUUCUACUCUUACAACAAACUGAGCAAUCAAGGUAUUUCUUGAUGUUGAACACACACUGUGUACAUAUGGUGUGCCCCAAUAUGCCUCCAAAGCAAGAGAGAACCCCAACGGACAGGGUUGCAGAACGUUUUGGCUCAUUUACAGAAUAUGCUCUGGAGAAAUUUGUGCUGAGCCAUAGAUGCCUGCCGCCCAAUACA